rnacentral:lncRNA from 10 species
GGGCAGGGGAGGGUUCCCAGUUGCUGGAGGUGGUGGAUCUAGUGGUGGAGUCAGGAAACCAGGGUGGGGAGUGUCAGAGGAAAGGGCACGAAGGGGCUGAGAGAGGGAGGAAGAGAUGGACUGAGAGAGGGAGUCACGGGAGGAGGGAGAGAGGGAGAGAGAGAGAGAGAGAGAGAGAGACAGAGAGAGAUGGAGAGAGAGAAAGACAGAGAGACACACAGACAGAGAGAGACAGAGACAGGGUGACGGGGGGGAGAGAGAGAGAGAGAUGGAGAGAGAGACAGAGAGAGAGCCAGACAGAGAGACACAGAGAGAGAGAGAGAAAGAGAGAGACAGAGACAGAGUGACAGAGAGGGGGAGAGCAAGAGACAGAGAGAGACUGGGAAAAUGAAUGAGAAGAUAUGACAGUGGAGAGAGAGGAGUCCAGGAAUACGAGCACAGAGGCAGGUGUGCUCAUGAGAGAAGGAACUGAGGAGAGAGCUGGAGAAACCGGUGGAAGUUGGAUGUGACAGGGAACAGAAGAGGCAGACGGUGGGAAAAAAACAAGACAGAGGAAGAGGGAGACACAGAGACGCAGGGAGAGAGGGGUGUGGAGAAGUGGAGAUAGAAAAGCAAAAGACGGAGGGAAGAAGGUGGAGAUAGAAUGGAAACAGACACACAGAAAGAGAAAACAGUGGAGAGAGAGGAGAGAGGAGUGGCCAAGAUGAGCAGGGCCCUGGUGCUGCAGGGGCGAGAAUUUUACUCCGAGGGUGAUGGGGGAUGGUGGCAUGAUCCUGAGUAGGGGAGAGCAGAAUCCUUCGGGAUACUCAGGUCUGGAGCUCAGGAGAGUGAUGGGGCAUCACGGCACGGAUGGUGCUGGAUACCAGCGGUGUGGAGCCCACCUAGGGAGAGGGUAUACAGUGAGAGGACCCCACUGAAGACUCACAGCUCAGGGGGUAAGAAACAGUUAUGCCAGGGGUAGGAGUGAUUGAAGAGCUAAGAGGGACACCAGGAGGGAGCAGUGUCAGGAAAGUUGAGAGCUUUUUUUUUUCUUUUUAAACAGGGUGUCACUCUGUUGCCCAGGCUGGAGUGCAGUGGUGCAAUCACAGCUCACUGCAGCCUUGAACUCCUGGGCUCAACCAUCCUCCCACCUCAGCCUCCUGAGUAGCUGGGACUACAGGCACGUGCUACCACAGUCAGUUAAUUUUUGUAUUUUUUUGUAGAGACAGGGUCUCACGAUGUAGCCCAGGUUGGUCUCCAACUCCAGGGCUGAAGUGAUUUGCCUGCCUUGGCCUCCCCAAGUGCUGGGAUUACAGGUGUGAGCCACUGCGCCCAGCCAGAGAGCAUUUUUUAAACGAGGGAGUGGCAGGGGCGGUCAGAUGCCUCUGGAAGGAAGAUAGGUGAUGGGUGAUUUUGGAGAGAAAGGUUUUUUGUGGUGUGGUAGGGGUGGAAGCUGGGCGGAGCAGAGGAGACCAUAGGUGCGGACAGCUCUUGGGUGUGAGGGGAGGAGAAGGGUGGUUGAUACUGAUGGCUGUUUAUAAGAAAGGAAAACCUGGAUGGCACUUGGAACAAAAACAAUCACUCACAUGUAUUCUGUGCUCAGCACAGCCAGGGACUGUGAUGAAACCUUGGUUGUUUUUUUUUUUUUUUGAGAUGAGUCUCAGUCUGUCACCCAGGCUGGAGUGCAGUGGCAGGAUCUCGGCUCACUGCAACUUCCGCCUCCCAGGUUAAAGCAAUUCUGUUGCCUCAGCCUUUUGAGUAGCUGGGACUAUGGGUGCCCACCACCAUGCCUGGCUAAUUUUUGCAUUUUUAGCAGAGACGGGGUUUCGCCAUGUUGGCCAGGCUGCUCUCAAACUCCUGACCUCAGGUGAUCCACCCGCCUC